GUCUAAGUACAUAUCUUAAAACAGUUAAACCGCGAAUGGCUCAUUAAAUCAGCUAUUGUUCCUUAGAUCGUAAAUGCUACACGCAUAACUGUAGUAAUUCUAGAAUUAAUACAUGCCUUGAAUCCCUGACUCGCAAGGGGACAGGUGCAUUUAUUAGAGCAGAACCAAUCGGGUGAGCCUUCGACUGUGCCUGUUACAUUCUGUGAUGACUCUGGAUAACUUUACCGGUCGCAGUCGGCCUUGGGUUGGCGAUGGAUCUUUCAAAUGUCUGUCCUACCAAUUUGUUGAUAUGUGAUUUGCCUACCAUGACGAUAACGUGUAACGGGGAAUCAGGGUUCGAUUCCGGAGAGGGAGCCUGAUAAAUGGCUAACACAUCUAAUCCGUCAAGGAG
rnacentral:ncRNA from 1 species